UCUUGACUGUAGUUGCUGCCUUUGUUCUGCAAUAGCUGUUUUUUUUUUCUGCUUGGACUCUUUGUAAAUUCUCAUAAAGAUGGCGCUGGGAAGAAGUGACCACAACUGACUGACUGUUUUAUUUUCUUGGGCAGGGAAAUCUGUGCACCAGUCCACAGGGAGUUUUACUUUAGUAAAACCUGAUGGAUCAGGUCCAUAAUUGGAUAAAUACUUGAAGCCUUUGAUCAUUGAUCCUGAUAACCCAGAGAGGUACUCGCAAGUGCUUGUGGACCCCAACAAACUAUACAAUGUGGUGAAGAAAGCACGAGAGCAGAAAUCCCACCAGGAAGUUAGCCUGUUGAAUGGACUCAUAGAUCUCGUGUUCAGCACUCAGGAGCUAGCAGUAGCCCAUGGGCUGGGGCUGAAAGGGAAGGAUAAAGAAGAAAAGGCCCUCAACAGGGUAAAAGUAUCAGCCUGUGAAGCUUUUUUAAGACAAACAUGCACUGCAGAAGGCUGGAAAGAGCUGAGCCAGGUUGAAUUCCGAAGAAAAUUCACAGCAAAGAUUUGCAAUGCCCGGCGGGAUCUGAAAAAUUCCAUGCAAAAGUCCUCUUGAAAACACCCUACCUCUGAGGUCUAUGGGACUUUGAUAUGUAACUCCAGAUAAUCUAAUGAGAAUCCUCUGACUGCAUUUUCACAUGGCAUGUUAAGAAACUUGGUACUUCUGCUGAAUAACUUGAAACAAUUAUGAAACAAUCUAAGUGAUUUUGGGGCCAUCAGACUGCCUCAACGAAACUAACCAUAUCAUUCUGCAUAUAGAGUGCCUCAAGCAUGGAUAUGAAUGAGGAGACUAUGUAUGAGAGAGAGAGAGGGUUUUUUUUUUUACCACCUACUGUUACAUUUACUUUUUAAAGUGGUGUUGGGAUAGUAAAUUUGAACAAAAGCAUUGAGUUUCUUUAGCUAGUUAUUGUCAUCCUGUACAAUGCAUUUUCUGUUGUGUCUGAGGAUAACUUUGCAUGAUAGGGUGCCUUGUUCUUAGCACUUUGAGUGUUGGGGUUUUGCUCUGCAGUCCUGCAGCCUGUAUAUAUUGCUCAUGAAACUGGACUGUAACUGCAGACACCAAUUACAUGCUAGAAAUCAUCACCUGAG